CUGAGCUUGUACAGAAUGCUCUUUCGGUGGUCUGAGCCUAGCAAGGCCUGCCCGCCUGCCGGCUCCAAGUCUUCUCUGCCCUGAGCCUGUCUGCAGGAUGAGACAGCAUAUGGGGACAUGGACCAGUGGCUUUCCCAGCCCAGGACCUUUGCUGCUCCUCAGGACUGAGCCGAACCACAGCUCUUCUCACUUGGGCCAAGUUAAAUGCCAGGGCUGUUGAUACAGUAAACAGGAAAAAGGGCAUUUGGAUUUGGUCCCUGAGGCUGGGCCUGAGGGGUCAGGCUGCCCUCCAUGAGGAACAGGACAUGGUAGGGACUCGGUUGCCGCUUCUCUCUUCUACUGUCCCAGCUGUCUCUGUUUUUUAGGCAACUUUCUGUGGCUUUUUCAAGAGUGGAGAUUUGGCUGGAGCAGGAUUAGGAAGCCUCCUGCUACACGCUUUCCCUGAGAAAAACCUCCUCUCUGGAAGGGGCCUGAGGUGAAAAUGAUUCAGAAGGCAGCUGAGGAGUUCUGGAAAGAGCCCCAAAGACCAGGCUCUGAGGCCUCCCUGGGCCACUUACUAACUAAAUGGGAGAAGAUUACUUGAGAAAAAGCCUAGAACAGUGCCCAGCAUGAUACCCCGUUGUGAAUUACCAUUUGGAGGUAGUCCGUCCCCACCUGGAGUGGAUCAAAGACAACAGAGGCCAACGGGGAAAAAGUUUGAGCUUUGCCAGGCUGAUAUUGGCUGCUGAAUAAGGGUGAUUUUCUCUUGUAAAAUGGCUUGAACCCCAAAGCUAUAGCACAAGCAAGCAGGGUCAUCAGAAGCCACUCCAUUCUUCUGGAAGCUGCAGGGAAAUGGAACCCAGAAACCAGGGAGAAGUGCCCAGCAGCAGCCAAUGGAAAGGGGACUUGCCUGCUGGCUGGAGGACCCCGGCCUGGGGCUCACGGCAGCCACAGAAAUGAGUGAGUAUUGCUGGUUGUAGUUGGAGUCACCAAUGCCUUUCCUUCCUUCACAUGGGGCAACCUUAGGAAGGUGUCCUCUCCCCACUUACUCUCCUGCUCUGGGCCUCCCCCAUCUCUGCCCAUCCUGGCCUCCAUACAGAGCAUCCAAGCAUCACCUUGGACCUCCCAGUUGGCACUGGGCAAACCAACAUAGAGAACCAAGACAAAGCACAACCUUAAAUCAUGUAAGUGGAAUAGAGGAGUCUGUCUCUCUGGCUGUAUCUAGGACCUGAUUUCUUCUAAUUCCCAAUCUCUUCUCUACUCCAGGUUUCUGAUUUCCUUCAAGUGACUUCUGAAGCCAAGCCACUCUGGGCCUUUGGGGCACUGGAACAUUUCUUCAUUGUCCUACUCACUGCCCCUUGAUGUGUGUGUCCCUGGCAGUCUGUGAGGAGGGAGGCCAUGUAAUUCAACGAAGUGUGGGCAAGCACAGGCCAGGCAUGCAGCAGGCACCAAAAAUGUCUAUUGUACUAAUAGAUGACUACAGACAGUGUAGGUUCUCACUUCCUGUUUCUAGGUAAUUCUCUGCCUCGUUUACUCUGAAGUCACACAGGGCCAGGAUAGGAAGUGGGCUUGCUGUGAUGCUUGUGCACCAGCUGACACAUCAUCCUUUUCGUGAUUCUCUUUUUCCGAUGAAGGUUGGAAACUUUCAUUCUAGAAGGGUCCUCAGCUGAGGGAUUGUGACUUUAGGGAGGUAGAGAGGGCACUUGGGAAGCCAGAAUUCACUGUGGAUAAAUGUUUGUCAGUUUCUGGGUUAGAUUUUUCAGUUCUGAGGAGUUCAUGAGAGCAACCUAAGAAUCAGUCCUGCUGAGGUUCAGGAGACAGUGCCGGGCCUGGCUGUGGCGGGAAGCUCCGGGAGAGGAAAGUGGACAGGCUGCUGAUACAGUCUUGCAUUGCAGCAGUGCUUGCCCUUCAGGGGUGACACAAGUCCUGAAGCCACCAUGUAUUUCUGUGGCUCUGGGACAAGGGGGACAGCUGACUUUCCCCCAGCCAUAGGAUGGGGUGGUCUCGACAAAUAUCAAUAGUUCCAAAGUACCAAAGAUUGGCUCUUGGUAGUUUGCCAAACACAAAGGCUUCACAGCAGCCCUAGGAAGCUGGCAGGAAGCUGCUAUUCCCAUUUAAUUGACAAGGGCAUUCAGUCCAAAAUCCUUCCCUGCUGGCUGCUUUACCACCCUUCACGCUGUCUCUCACCUUGAAAGUGGGAGAAGACAUGACUGAAAGGGCAGGCUGCAGUGCAAAUGACUAUAGGUGCGUGGCUGGGA
rnacentral:lncRNA from 1 species